AUGCUUGCUUCGGCAGCACAUAUACUAAAAUUAGAACGAUACAGAGAAGAUGAGCAUGGCCUUCUCAAGAACAACAUACAAAUUUGUGAAGCAUUCCCUAUUUAU
ensembl:snRNA U6 U6 spliceosomal RNA